CAAAGGCAUGGUCCCAACCUUUAUAUCAGCCUUAACCAAACUUACACAUGCAAGCAUCCACAACCCUGUGAGUAUCCCCUUAACCCCUAAUCCGGGGAAAAGGAGCAGGCAUCAGGAACAAUUUAACCUAGCCCAAGACGCCUAGCUUAAGCCACACCCCCAAGGGAACCCAGCAGUGAUAAACAUUAAGCCAUGGGUGAAAACCCGACUUAGUUCAAGUUAAGAGGGCCAGUAAAAUCCGUGCCAGCAACCGCGGUUAAACGAAUAGCCCUAGUUGAUAAAGCCACGGCGUAAAGGGUGGUUAGGGUAAAACAAAAUAAAGUUAAAUGGCCCCUUGGCUGUUAUACGCUUCUAGGAGUCCGAAACCCAAACACGAAAGUUACUUCAACAAACAUUACCCGACCCCACGAAAGCUAAGAAACAAACUGGGAUUAGAUACCCCACUAUGCUCAGCCGUAAACCAAGACAUAAAUACACAAUAAUGUCCGCCAGGGUAUUACGAGCAUCAGCUUAAAACCCAAAGGACCUGACGGUGCCUUAAACCCCCCUAGAGGAGCCUGUUCUAUAACCGAUAAUCCCCGUUUAACCUCACCAUUUCUGGUUCAACCCAGCCUAUAUACCACCGUCGCCAGCUUACCCUGUGAGGGAAUAAAAGUAAGCAAAAAGAGUACUACCCAAAACGUCAGGUCAAGGUGUAGCGAACGAAAUGGGAAGAAAUGGGCUACAUUUUCUAUUAGCAGAAAACUACGAAUAUGCAACAUGAAACAAUGCUUGAAGGAGGAUUUAGUAGUAAAAAGGAAACAGAGUGUCCUUUUGAACCCGGCCCUAAGGCACGUACACACCGCCCGUCACUCUCCCCAGUCACAAUGCAUCAAACUUAUAUAACAUAAAAGCACCGACAAGAGGAGGCAAGUCGUAACAAGGUAAGUGUACCGGAAGGUGCACUUGGACAAACC
rnacentral:ncRNA from 1 species